GUCCUCCCUACCACACACGAGGAGGCCCCCCUCCUGCCCUUUCAGAUUCUAAUUCUUAUUUUUUGUAGAGGCGGGGUCUCACGAUGUUGUCCAGGCUGGUCUCAAACUCCUAGGCUCAAGCGAUCCUCACGCCUUGGCUUCCGAAAGCUCUGGGAUUACAGGCACAGCCACCACAAAGCCCAGCCUCAGAGUCUUAUUUUUCUACUUAGCUGUCAGCUCCCAGUUUGCUCUGCAGAAGGCCUCCCGUGGUGCCAUUUGCUAAUCCUCAAAGCCCAGCCCUCGUCCCAGUGCUUGCCAAACGGCAGGUGUGCAAUACAAAUGAUUAAAGAAGCCGGUGGAUGAAUGGACAGAUAAACAAACUGUUCUGGAGAGGAGAUGGGGACAAAAUGACUUAUCUAAGCCCCAUUCUUUGGCAAGAGAAAAGGGACUAUUAAAAAGAAAGAAGUUACCUGGACCCCUCUGGAACCUGCACAAGGUCACAAUCACACACCAGCAACCCCACACAAGAUCACAAUCACACAUGAGCGACCCGACACAAGGUCACAAUCACUCAUGAGCCAGCCCAGGCCCACAGCGGGCAGGUGACAGGGAGGCCACGGAAUUCCCAGCUCAAGGCCGUUGUCAGCCUAGAAAAUA
rnacentral:lncRNA from 10 species